rnacentral:rRNA from 1 species
GGUCCGAGUUGUAAUUUGUAGAGGAUGCUUUUGGUGAGGUGCCUUCCGAGUUCCCUGGAACGGGACGCCGGAGAGGGUGAGAGCCCCGUACGGUUGGACGCCAAACCUCUGUAUAGCUCCUUCGACGAGUCGAGUAGUUUGGGAAUGCUGCUCUAAAUGGGAGGUAAAUUUCUUCUAAAGCUAAAUACCGGCCAGAGACCGAUAGCGCACAAGUAGAGUGAUCGAAAGAUGAAAAGCACUUUGAAAAGAGGGUUAAAUAGCACGUGAAAUUGUUGAAAGGGAAGCGUUUGCGACCAGACUUUUUCCAGGCGGAUCAUCCGGCGUUCUCGCCGGUGCACUCCGCCUGGUUGAGGCCAGCAUCGGUUUCCUUAGGGGGAUAAAGGCCUGGGGAACGUAGCUCCUUCGGGAGUGUUAUAGCCCCUGGCGUAAUACCCCUGAAGGGACCGAGGAACGCGCUCUGCAAGGAUGCUGGCGUAAUGGUCGUCAACGACCCGUCUUGAAACACGAACCAAGGAGUCGAACAUUUGUGCGAGUGUUUGGGUGUCAGACSCUCACGCGUAAUGAAAGUGAACGGAGGUGAGAGCCUUGGGUGCAUCAUCGAHCGAUCCUGAUGUCUUCGGAUGGAUGAGAGUAAGAGCAUAACUGAUCGGACCCGAAAGAAGGUGAACUAUGCGUGGAUAGGGUGAAGCCAGAGGAAACUCUGGUGGAAGCUCGCAACGAAUCUGACGUGCAAAUCGAUCGUCAAAUCUGCGC